AUUAAUAAGCGGAGGAAAAGAAACCAACCGGGAUUCCCUGAGUAAGGGCGACUGAAACGGGAACAGCCCAGCGCAUAACCUGGCGGUCGCUACUGGCCGUCCAGGGGUGUUGCGUUUCGGUGCAUCCUUGCCGCCCGAGUUGCUGACCGCCUAAGUCAUUGCUUGAAAGCAGCCCCAAGGAGGGUGAUAGGCCCGUGUGGCGGCGCCUGUAAAAAGGGUGAAGGCGGCUCGGGCGGGUGGGUGUCCACCGUAGAGUCGGGUUGCUUAGUACUGCAGCCCUAAGCAGGUGGUAAACUCCAUCUAAGGCUAAAUACUACCACGAGUCCGAUAGAGAACAAGUACCGUGAGGGAAAGCUGAAAAGGACUUUGAAGAGAGAGUUCAAUAGGACGUGAAACCGUUAGAAGCUUAAACGGGUGGAACCGCGAAGGUUGAACGAGGGGAUUCAGCUCGCCGGUGGUCGGAGGCUGCGGGUGUUUCGAAAGAUUCCUUGACGAACGGACCCGGCACGCAGUUGGUAGUGUGGCCGGGCCGCACCCGUGCCUCCGAGUUGCUCGGCGGGCUUAGUUCUCCCUCGGGAAGUCGCCGCGACCCGCUUCCGGGAGCCCCAGGGCCGUGCCGCAUUGGUAGCCCGGGCCGUUAAGGCCCGGGUGAUGAGCGGCUGCGGUUCCGUCGGCCCCCUUGGAGGCGGUCGUGCACGGAGGCCGCGUUGAGCGGCCUCUCGCGGCGUGCAAGGGAUCGGACAUCCACCCGA
rnacentral:rRNA from 1 species